rnacentral:rRNA from 1 species
AUUGAACGCUGGCGGCAGGCCUAACACAUGCAAGUCGAACGAGUGGCGGACGGGUGAGUAAUGUAUGGGGAACUGCCCGAUAGAGGGGGAUAACUACUGGAAACGGUAGCUAAUACCGCAUACUAUCGGAUGUGCCCAGAUGGGAUUAGCUAGUAGGUGGGGUAAAGGCUCACCUAGGCGACGAUCCCUAGCUGGUCUGAGAGGAUGAUCAGCCACACUGGGACUGAGACACGGCCCAGACUCCUACGGGAGGCAGCAGUGGGGAAUAUUGCACAAUGGGCGCAAGCCUGAUGCAGCCAUGCCGCGUGUAUGAAGAAGGCCUUAGGGUUGUAAAGUACUUUCAGCGGGGAGGCGUUACCCGCAGAAGAAGCACCGGCUAACUCCGUGCCAGCAGCCGCGGUAAUAC